CUAGCAUGUCAGGUCCUUUAAAGGCUGGGGGUGGGGAAAGACAGACUAGGGGCCCACAACAGAGGGGGCGGCACUGAGGAGUCUGUAAAUGAUUCUCCCUGACAGCGCUGGCCCAGCCAGGAGCUGUGAUGGAUGGAAGCCUUAAGACAGCCUGAGCCGCAGGCUGGAUGAGCAGUCCUUCCCUGGUGUGCUUUGACGAGGACACGGAGGUAGAGGCAGAGGCAGAUGGGAAGCCAGAGCAAAGAAUUCCAGACCCGUGAAGGCAGAGGUAGGGAGGCUGUGGCCGGCCCCAGAGCUGUGCCGGUGCUGCCUCUUGUCAAGACUGACUGACAAGCCUUCAGCAUCCAGGUCUGAGCAGGGCACCUUCCUGAGGGGAGGAGACAAGCAGACCACAAGUCAUGAGCUUCUGGCUACGGUGUUAAUGCUAGUGAGACAGAGGGAGGGGAUUCCCGCUGAACCAUGGCUGAACCGUGUCCCCCAAAAUGUAUUAAGAAACAUGGACUCAGAGACCUUCUGUGAUCUGUUCAUAAUACACAGCCAAUACCUGGCAGUCAGAAUUUGAACCCUGACCUCCAGUUCGGGAACCCUGAGCUGAGAACCUGUCUUCUUGGAGAGAGUGUUAGACAUCUUCGGGGGCUACCCUUAAUCUAGAUCGGGUGCCACAGAAGGGAAUGAUUUCUCUGAGACAAAGGACCCUCUUCAAAGGCUGAGGGCUUCCAGGAUGCUGCUACUUACCUACGGGGACGGAGAACCAUUUAAUUCCUUCUCAACCGCAUCCUAC
ensembl:lncRNA